GUGUGAUAAUAAUCAGUACUGUGUGUGCUAUCCCUGUGUGAUAAUAACCAGUACUGUGUGUGCCAUCCCUGUGUGAUAAUAACCAGUACUGUGUGUGCCAUCCCUGUGUGAUAAUAACCAGUACUGUGUGUGCUAUCCCGGUGUGAUAAUAACCAGUACUGUGUGUGCCAUCCCUGUGUGAUAAUAACCAGUACUGUGUGUGCCAUCCCUGUGUGAUAAUAACCAGUACUGUGUGUGCCAUCCCUGUGUGAUAAUAACCAGUACUGUGUGUGCCAUCCCUGUGUGAUAAUAACCAGUACUGUGUGUGCCAUCCCUGUGUGAUAAUAACCAGUACUGUGUGUGCUAUCCCUGUGUGAUAAUAACCAGUACUGUGUGUGCUAUCCCUGUGUGAUAAUAACCAGUACUGUGUGUGCCAUCCCUGUGUGAUAAUAACCAGUACUGUGUGUGCCAUCCCUGUGUGAUAAUAACCAGUACU